GCUGCCGUAGCUCAGUGGUAGAGCACUCCCUUGGUAAGGGAGAGGUCGAGAGUUCAAUCCUCUCCGGCAGCA
rnacentral:tRNA from 1 species